rnacentral:tRNA from 1 species
GCUUGGGUGGCUCAAUCGGUUGAGCAUCCGACUUCAGCUCGGGUCAUCAUCUCACAGUUUGUGGGUUUGAGCCCCUCAUCGGGCU